rnacentral:lncRNA from 1 species
AUGGAAAAUUCAGAGAAGUCUGAAGUGGUUCUCCUUGCUUGUGGUUCUUUUAAUCCUAUCACCAACAUGCACCUCAGGUUGUUUGAGCUGGCCAAGGACUACAAGUGGAACAGGAAGAUACAGAGUUGUCAAAGACAUAAUCUCUCCUGUUGGCAAUACCAGGAGAAUGGACUCAUUCCUGCCCGUCACUGGGUCAUCAGGUCAAAACUUCCCACCAAGAAUGCCAAAUGGGUGGAAGUUGAUACAUAAAAAGUCUUCAAAAGGAGCAGAUAGAAACUGUUAAGGUGCUUAUACACCAUCAGGAGAAACUGGAGGCUAGUAACUGUGAUAACCAGCAGAACUUGCGUACGCUAGAAAGGCCUGGACAAAAGAGGAAGUGGACUGAACAAAGACAGGAUUCUAGUUGAAAGAAAUCCCUGGAGUCCAAAACAAAAGGUACAACAAAGGUCAAGCUGUUGUGUGGGACAGAUUAUUGGAGUCCUUUGGUAUUCCCAAUUUGUGGAAGGCAGAAGACAUCACCCAGAUUGUGGCAGACUAUGAGUUCACAUGUAUACUCAGGCUGGAAAUGAUGCUCAGAAAUUCAUCCAUAAUCUGACGUGCUGUGAAAACACUGGAGCAUCAUUCACAUAGUGAAUGAAUGGAUCACUAAUGAUAUCUCAUCUACAACAAUCUGGAGAGCCCUCAGAAGGGGACAGAGCAUUCGCUACUUGUUAUGAGAACUUGUCCAAGAAUAAAUCAAAAAGCAUAAUUUGUAAUUAUCGAAAAGCAUAAUCUGUCUUCUGAGGGUGAAGACAGGAAUGCUGGGAUCAUUCUGGCCCCUUUGAGAGAAACACUGCAGAAGCUAAGGCAAAGGAAUCUAC